ACAGGGAGGGGACUUUUGCUUGAUCCUUCCUUGUUCGGAGUAAUUCAAGACUUGGCUUGUUCCUUCAUUUGUUUUUCUUUUUUCCUGUUUUUCCCUCACAAACGCUUUCUUCCAUGCUCUCUUCACGCUGGAUUCUCACAAGGUGCUGACUACCACUUUCACCUGGGAAGUGCCCUGAUAUAUCCACCCUGUACUUUGAGCGCCGGUUUGGCUUCAGCUUUGCUGUCUUGUUGAGUUAUGCUGGUGCCAUAACUCAGACGAGGAGAUAUUCAGGGACUGAAUACACUGCAGCUUUUAGGAAAGCGUGACAUGCCUAGCCUCACCGCCAAACUUCAGCAACUGAUGGACUGCGGUGCUCAACGUUGCAAUGGCCGUGGCGAGUGUGUGACAGUGGAUGGCUUGCCAGCAUGUGAAUGCAUGCUGGGCUACAGGGGGGACACCUGCAGGGAGACGGUGAACGGCGGGCUGUCUGUUCCGCUCACACUGGGGGUCCUGGGGGUCCUCGCUGGCUUGAUUAUUGUGGCUUUCCUCUUUGCGUAUUUUCGACAGAAGAGAAAAGCACAAAUAAGGGAGGAGGCAGCUGUUGCAAAGGAGGCCCUGAAAAGAAAUGGAGACUUUCAUUCCCUUCAACAGUGAAACAGGAAAUAAGAGCCCAACAGUAUAAAACAUCCACCUCAACAAAACAGAUCAUCUGCUGCAUCAUUUCGCUCAUCGCACUUGCUUGGAAAUGUGUCUCGUUUGGUGACCUACAGCAAAACACCACGCACUUAUUAUUUAAGGAAAGGGAAGGGACCACAUUAUACAUCUUUAUGCAUGAACGUUACACGCACUGGCUCAAUGUUUAGUGCUCAAAGGCAAAAUUAACAUUAUAUGGAUGACAAUAGUAGAUAAUUCACUCACAUCCUCAGAUCCAUUCACUCUGGGAAGGGGUCCAAAGCACAGCCCACGUUGCGUGCAAUUACUCAUUUCCACCAGAGAGGUCUCCAAAUCACAAAAUAUUACAUACUGUAGCUUUAAGUUUUAGGAUUUCAUUCUAUCUCUGAAGCUAAUCUAUCCCCCCAUUUUGUUACAGCUGAAAUGAUUUGUGAUUAAAGAUGAUGAAAGACUAAUUUACUCUCUUUAUAAUAAAACCUGCAGUUUGUCAGUAUAAGUACUGGCAGCAUCCACAAUAAAAAAUGAGAAAAGCAUAUAGACAUUAUUUAUCAUGAUAUGUCAUCAUAUUGCCCAUCCCUAUUUUGGAGGUUUGUUCAGGUACACUAAUCAAAACUCAUACUUGCAAAACUUGCAGCUGAAAGUGGUACAACCAAAUUCUUAAAAAAAGAUACUGCUUGCGAAUUCAAUAGCAGAGUCAUUUUAAAGAUGUCUUGUUGCUAGGUGCUGCUUCACUGAUACUGAUGUGGCAGUGAGGGAGACAAAUGCUUGUGACGAGUGUGGAGUGACUAGUCUCUUUAAAAUGCCAAGCAUUUCAGUGCUUUGUCCUUACACAGCUUCAAACCUGACUGGUCGGUUCAAAAGACGUCUACAGAGUACAAAGGCCACCCUUCAUUUCUUUAAUUUCAAGUUUAACUGGUCAAGUUAUUUAAAGAGAAAUGUAGCAGAAAACAUAUUUAACAAAAAAGAUACAGAAGGUUCAACAAAUAAAUAUUACUUUGUAUGUUCAA